GAGUUCCAGCAACCCAGCUAGGGUUUAUUUGGGAAGGGUGCAGUUUUCCACAUAGGAAAGUGAAUUGGGAUGCAUGUUUUCAGGUUGUAAGGAAAAAUCCAAUUGCUCUGACUAAUUUGGAUUUAGAUGCAGCUUUAUAGCCUGCAGCAAGAAGACACAGUCAACUGGGUGGAAAGUAUAGUGUCAUCUGAACCAGAAGUUCCCCAUUUUUUUAUAACCUCCCUUGAGAAUGGUGUCCAUGGUCUGUGUCUGACUGGAUUCCCAGGAGACAACACGAGCUCUUUGUACAGGAAUUACUGUAUCAAAAUCCACCUGAACCAAUGCAGGAGAAGCCUUACAAGAAGCAGUGCAAGCGCAGCAGUGACCCAACCCAAGCUGACUUUGGUGCCCAGCCACUCCACACAACAAAGCCACACCACCUCCCCCACCCUGAGGGAUCACCAUAGCCAAGGGAGCCCAAAGCCAUGAACCAAACAAACUCAGUGGCCAUUUGUGGACAUUUUACGGACAUUUUACAGGGGUCAUCUACAAACUAAAGGAAUGGUACCUAUUUAUUAUACCAAAGGAUAUAAAGGGGCAUGGUGGUUAAUGACGUUGUAUUGGAUAAUGUCGGAUCUGACCAUGAUGUAAACAGUAUGGAAUAAGGGGUGGAGAAUGUGAUGGUUUUGGCUGGGGUAGAGUUAGUUUCCUUCAUAGUAGCUGGUAUGAGGCUGUGUUUUGGAUUUGUGCUGGAAUCAGUGUUGAUGAUAGAGGAAUGUUUUUGUUAUUGCUGAGCUGGGCUUACAGAGAAUAAAGACCUUUCUGCCUUUCACUCCACCAGCAAGGGGGCUGAGGGUGGACAAGCAGUGGGGAAGGGACACAGCUGGGACAGCUCACCCCAAAUGACCAAAGGGUUAUUCCAUGGCAUCAUGGCAAGCAAAU